UACGUAGGUGGCAAGCGUCGUCCGGAUUUACUGGGUGUAAAGGGCGUGCAGCCGGGAAGACAAGUCAGAUGUGAAAUCCCGCGGCUCAACCGCGGAACUGCAUUUGAAACUGUUUUUCUUGAGUACCGGAGAGGUCAUCGGAAUUCCUUGUGUAGCGGUGAAAUGCGUAGAUAUAAGGAAGAACACCAGUGGCGAAGGCGGAUGACUGGACGGCAACUGACGGUGAGGCGCGAAAGCGUGGGGAGCAAACAGG
rnacentral:rRNA from 1 species